ACGGAUAUAUCACUUUGAAACACUGGUCCUCGUACGAUCACCGAAAUUAAGCAAUGCCGAAUCUGGUCAGUACCUAGAUGGGUAACCGCUUGGGAUUACCAGGUGC